UACGUAGGUGGCAAGCGUUGUCCGGAUUUAUUGGGUUUAAAGGGUGCGUAGGCGGUUUUGUAAGUCAGUGGUGAAAUACUCUAGCUUAACUAGAGGGGUGCCAAUGAUACUGCGGAACUUGAGUACUGAUGAGGUAGGCGGAAUGGACGGUGUAGCGGUGAAAUGCUUAGAUAUCGUCCAGAACACCGAUAGCGAAGGCAGCUUACUAAGGAGUAACUGACGCUGAGGCACGAAAAGUGUGGGGAUCAAACAGG
rnacentral:rRNA from 1 species